rnacentral:rRNA from 1 species
CGCAACCCUUGUCCUUAGUUACCAGCACGUUAUGGUGGGCGACUCUAAGGAGACUGCCGGUGACAAACCGGAGGAAGGUGGGGAUGACGUCAAGUCAUCAUGGCCCUUACGGCCUGGGCUACACACGUGCUACAAUGGUCGGUACAAAGGGUUGCCAAGCCGCGAGGUGGAGCUAAUCCCAUAAAACCGAUCGUAGUCCGGAUCGCAGUCUGCAACUCGACUGCGUGAAGUCGGAAUCGCUAGUAAUCGUGAAUCAGAAUGUCACGGUGAAUACGUUCCCGGGCCUU